UGAGGUCUCUUCUGUGGACAUUGAACUCCCAGCUACCUAUGCCUAUUGCCUGUGAUGGAAGAACUGGAUGUUAAUGUGAGUUCGAGUGAGGGCUUCGGCAUAGCGGAGAAGAUCGUGCUGCUCACCUUCAUCUCCGCCGUCAUUCUGAUGGCCAUCCUGGGGAACCUGCUGGUGAUGGUGGCCGUGUGCCGGGACAGGCAGCUCAGGAAAAUCAAGACCAAUUAUUUCAUAGUUUCCCUGGCCUUUGCGGACCUGCUGGUGUCAGUGCUGGUGAUGCCCUUUGGAGCCAUGGAGUUGGUUCAGGACAACUGGAUCUACGGAGAGAUGUUCUGCCUGGUCCGGACGUCCCUCGAUGUGCUGCUCACCACGGCGUCAAUCCUGCACCUGUGCUGUAUCUCGCUGGACAGGUACUAUGCUAUCUGCUGCCAGCCUCUGGUGUACAGGAACAAGAUGACCCCACUGCGCAUCGCUGUAAUGCUCGGAGGGUGCUGGGUAAUCCCAACAUUUAUUUCUUUCCUCCCUAUCAUGCAAGGCUGGAAUAGCAUUGGCAUCAUUGAUCUGAUCCAGCAAAGGCAGUUCAACAAGGCUUCCAACUCCACCUACUGCAUAUUCAUGGUCAACAAGCCAUACGCCAUUACCUGCUCCGUGGUGGCCUUCUACAUCCCCUUCUUCCUGAUGGUGCUGGCCUACUACCGCAUCUACAUCACGGCGCGGGAGCACGCCCGGCAGAUCCAGGUGCUGCAGCGCGCGGGGGCCCCCACGGACGGCCGGCAGCACCCCCCGGACCAGCACAGCACCCACCGCAUGAAGACCGAGACCAAAGCUGCCAAGACCCUGUGCAUCAUCAUGGGGUGCUUCUGCCUGUGCUGGGCCCCCUUCUUUGUCACAAACAUAGUGGACCCUUUCAUAAACUACACGGUGCCGGGGAAGCUGUGGACGGCUUUCCUGUGGCUGGGCUAUAUCAAUUCAGGGCUGAACCCUUUCCUCUACGCCUUCCUGAACAAGUCUUUCAGACGUGCCUUCCUCAUCAUCCUGUGCUGUGGGGAUGAGCGAUACCGAAGGCCUUCCAUCCUGGGGCAGACGGUGCCCUGCUCCACCACCACGAUCAAUGGAUCGACACACGUGCUGAGGGUAAACAGCUGGAAGUGUUGAGCUAACAACUGCCAGAGGCUUCAGACAGACACUUUGUGCCACACGAGAUCCCGGGACACCUUAAUGACUUCUCUUUAGCUUAAUGCAUCUCUGUAACAAACGGCAUCACCUGCUAUUGCUGAUCUUGCACCACUUUCUGACUGCUGCAGAAGAACAAGGAAGGUACACUGUUUUACGCAAUGGGCAUCAUCAGGAACAUGAGAAGCUUCCCAUCCACAACGAUCCUGAAUCCCAAGAGUCCUGUUUCUAGUCAUGGUCCUAAUAGAGGAAUGGUCCAGCUGAAAGAACCUUUUAGGAUAUCCAAAGGAUUCAUGGACAGCAGGACUUGUUGAAAAAUCAUUCAUCUGCAUUGUCAUGGUGCCUCCUACACUGACUUCACAUGGAUGUCCAGCUGUGGGAUGGAUGGAAGGUACAGGACUCCUGUACCUGCAGGGAUGGCUGGAUGGCUUUAUUCCAGGAGGGAGUGAUUCCUGUCAACAUAAGGACACAAAACAGAUACAAACCACUCAGUGCAGGGACUUCUGCUGCUCCUUUCCAGCUGCCAUCUGUGUACAAGCCAUCUCUCUGUCCUGCAGUCUUAGAGAUCCCAAGGUCUGGCUGAAGCCCUGACAGGAUGUGAGACUAAAGCCCUGCUUCAUCCGUGCGAGAUCCUGCCCGCGGUGAUGGAUGGUCGGGGGAGAAACAGCACUGUGUUUUCUUCAGCAAAAUAAGGGGGAACAUUUGCCCUUUGAUUAUAGCUGCUGCUGAAGGGUCAGCACGAGCUGCUGGUUCACCCAACCCUGCAGAGCUUUGUAAAUGCUUUUACUGUGUUUCCUGGCCACGUUCAUUGGUAGAAGACUCUGGUGUGCAUAGAGGGCCUGACAAGCUGGAGUGGGACCUACAGAGACAUCUCACCUCUGACAGGGCCCUGCCAGCACUGCUCCAGUCCAGCCCACGGGCCCAAAGCCAUGUCCAGUGGACAGGAUAUGGCCCUCAAACCCAGGCAUUCUGACCCAGAAGAAAGAUUGGCCAAGAGACAGUCAGUCUGUAAUAGAUCACUAAGUGCCAUCUUGAAAAAUACACCAUCUAAUAAACUUUUCUAGCUACAUUAGGAAGAGAGACUUCUACUUCCAUAUUCCACCGUUAUUUUUCUAUUUGUUUCUGUUCUCUUCCAGUUGAGGCAAGAAGUUUCAAGGUUUUCAAAUAUCACCAUAUGCACAUCUGCUUGCAAAGAUCUCAGUCCUCAGCUGCUUCCUGCAUGUAGAUGUUGCCAUGUUCCUUGUGAGCUGCUUCCACCUUUGCAUGGAAAGGGUGAGCAAGGCUGUAGACUUCACAACUUUGGGAAAAUGAUUUUCAUGCAGUAGGAAAUAUGCAGGAUCAAGACUAUGAGCCUCUACCCUUUUUAAAUGAAGAUCUAACCCAGAGAUGCCACCCUGAGCCUAGAAAAUAAACUUGUACUUUGUUAUAUUGUGUAAUCAUGUACAGCUAUUUUUAAUGUAAAAAGAAAAGGUGACAUUAUUUAUUAUUUUUUAUCAGGAACAUGUGUUUUUUUCAUUAAAAGCUUCUAGACCCAGGAGCUUAACAUUAUAUGUAUUAUUAUUUAGUAAUAUUUCUGUUGCUAUGUGACAGGUAUUUACUAUAAACAGACAAAUCCUGCUUUGAACAAACAAAAAUGUUGCUCAGUAGGAAAAAAAUUGUGCAUGAUAAGAACAACUGGCUUCCUCUGCCACGGUGUCUGACUUCUUUAAAUACUUCUUCCACAUAAAAGUCACUGAUAAAACCUCACAGCCUUUCCCUUUAGGUUUCAAAAGGACUCUAGGGAGAAAUAGCCCUAAUUAGAAGACCAGACACUUACCAAAGUAGAGAAUUGCUGGCAGUUAGAAAGAGAGAAACUGUUGGUGUUUUCAUGGAAGGUGCUCCUGGUUCAUCAUUAGGACCUGUUUGGCAAUUACCUGUUUUUACAGGGCUUUGUUUCAAAAAGAACUCCUUGAACUGUACUGUUGACACCAAAACAGAGCAGAGAGUGAAAAAAGGAAGGUCAUUAUUGAAAGUUUGGAAAAAAAUCCAUCCAGAGCUGCUUGAGUCCUGUGAUCCUCACCCUCUGUGGGACUGCUCACACUGGUUGUGUCAGGAUUUGGGUACAUGAGGCUUCAGAACAGGUUUUCUUGGUUUCACCUCAAAUAUCAAAUUUCUUAGAGAAAUCCUGAAAAAGCUUUUCUCUGUCCCCAUUAAAAGGCAUCAAAACAUUGGUGUGAAAUUUCUCUGAGUGAUCUGGACCCAGCAGCAGCAUGGGGAUGCUACAGUAAUUGUGUUUUUGUUUCUGCUGUUGUCCUUGAAGUGUUGUUUUCUCCUAUAUUUUUAUGUGCAUUAGUAAUAUAUCUCUUCUUAAUUUAAAAUGAACUCCUCAACAGGGCAGUUUCCUCACAGGCAACAUUCUGAAGGCUCUAUCAACGGGAGCAGUAGCUCACUAGCCAAGAUGGUCAACUGCUGUGAUAGGAAAAAAUUCCAAACACUGUAUUUGAAUGAAAUACCAAACACAAAAUGUCCAUGUUCUGUGGCAUUUCUGACGAAUUGCUCGUUGGACUCAGCAAACCUGUCAUGAACCACCUGGCAGCUCCUGCUUAGUAAGUCAGUAAUCUCAGCAAAGCUUCUGUGAACCCAGCAAAUGACGUCGUCUGUCAUCAGUAAUGGCAGAACUUCUCUGGAAAAGGAGCUGUCUCACAGAAAGGACCCAGACUCAAUUUCCUUUGCUAAAGGUGGCUGCUCCUGCAGCCUCUCAGUUCAGCUUCCCAUUGACCUUCUUGGCUAGUGGUAUCAGAGUCUUUGCCUGUGCUGAGUAAUGUGUAAUGCAUUGGCUGUUUCUAAAAAUAAAAAAUCUUCUAUGUGCACUGCA